UCAAGACUAAUGAUUGUAAGUACUUUUUUAUAUUUAAAUUCAAAGAUUUUUUCUAAAUCAUUAAACAUGUCUAUAAUAAUAAUAAUAAACUGCAUAAAUUUUUAUCCACGGGUGGUUUCAAUAUUCAUACAAAAUGUAUAGGAAAUAAUAGAACUCCAAUCUCAACUAUUUUGCCAGAUUACUGGAAUAAUGACUCCAGUUUCCCAGAAGAAGACGAUUCACCAGUGGCACUUGAUGAGUUGCACUAUGAUGUGACUCUAGAUGGAUACUAUGAAAUUUUUGAUUCAUUAUGAAGAAUGCCAAUUAUUAAUUUUUCUCUCAGACCAUCAGAAAGGGAUGAAGAAGCAUUGGAGCAAGAGAGAAACAUCAUCAGAGAACAACAAGAAAAACUGGAGAGAGCUGCCAUAGAAUUCGAC
rnacentral:lncRNA from 1 species